rnacentral:rRNA from 1 species
UACGGAGGACCCGAGCGUUAUCCGGAUUCAUUGGGUUUAAAGGGUGCGUAGGCGGCCCGGUCAGUCAGCGGUGAAAUGCCUGCGCUUCACGCAGGAACUGCCGUUGAUACUGCCGGGCUAGAAUCUUAGCGAGGCGGGCGGAAUGCGCAGUGUAGCGGUGAAAUGCAUAGAUAUUGCGCAGAACGCCGAUUGGGGAGCCAGCUCGCCAGCUGAGUAUUGACGCUGAGGCACGAAAGCGUGGGGAUCAAACAGGAUUAGAUACCCUGGUAGUCCACGCCGUAAACGAUGAUAACUCGCUCUUGGUCUGCAAGGAUCUGGGGCUUAGCGAAAGCGUUAAGUUAUCCACCUGGGGAGUACGCCGGCAACGGUG